GCCUGGGUGGCUAAGUCGGUUAAGCGCCCGACUUUGGCUUAGGUCAUGAUCUCACGGUUUGUGGGUUCGAACCCUGCUUUGGGCU
rnacentral:tRNA from 1 species